CUACACACACACACACACACACACACACACCAACACACACCAACACACACAGUCAGAGUGAGUGUCAGUCGGAGUCUGUGAUGUUUCAGAUUCAUAUGACGACACCGUCCUGAUAACAGCCCCAACAACCAUGCACAUAAACACACCGACACGCAGCGUUACCAGGUGUGUUCGUGCGUGACAACAUGUCUGACUUAUGGACAUUCUCCUCGUCUGCUACUCCUCCCAUAAUGCAUCACUCCACCCUGCCCUCGCUCUCGUCAUUCAGGAACCAUGGAAACCAUUCUCAUUCUAAGGUAACCUCCCCUCAUCACC